rnacentral:tRNA from 4 species
UCCGCAGUAGCUCAGUGGUAGAGCUAUCGGCUGUUAACCGAUCGGUCGCAAGUUCGAGUCUUGCCUGCGGAGCCA